GCUGGGUGUGGUGGCGGACCCCUGUAAUCCCAGCUACUUGGGAGGCUGAGGCAGGAGAAUCGCUUGAACCCAGGAGGCAGAGGUUGCAGUGAGAAAAGAUCGCGCCAUUGCACUCCAGCCUGGGUGACAGAGCGAGACUCUGUCUCAA
rnacentral:SRP_RNA from 2 species